AGGCCUAUGGUUUGUGGUUAACCAGAGGACUCAUAAUCCCUUGGUCGCUGGUUCGAGUCCAGCUGGGCCCACCA
rnacentral:tRNA from 1 species